GAGAAUUCACGUGGAGGAACACACACCACACUUGGAGGAGACUUCUGAAAACUUCGAAUUGGGAGGGCGAUCCUCCCGGUGAACUGACCGUACCCCAAACCGACACAGGUGAACAAGUAGAGUAUACUAGGGCGCUUGAGAGAACCAUGUCGAAGGAACUCGGCAAAAUGACCCCGUAACUUCGGGAGAAGGGGUGCUCUCCUAUCUUUUGAUUAGGAAAGCGGCACAUACCAGGGGGUAGCGACUGGUGGUAACACGAUGUCUUCUCUUCCUUUAAUCUCA
rfam:Nicotiana attenuata strain TT chromosome 3, whole genome shotgun sequence.